UUGAUAUCAAUCUCGUUAUGAUCGCCGGUCCGUAAUAUCGCAUCGGAGCCGAAGGUUUGCCCCGGGGAAUGGGAUGUUCGGCUUCCUGAGAGGCUGUGAAGAUUGAGAAACAGAUUCUGGCCAAGGUUCACAGUCGUUUCAUUGUGACUCUGGCUUACGCGUUUCAGACAAAGCAGGAGUUGUGUUUGGUUAUGACCUUGAUGAGUGGGGGUGACCUCAGGUAUCACAUCUACAAUGUGAAUGAGAAGAUGCCAGGCUUUGAUGAGGCCAGAGCGUGUUUCUAUUCCGCCCAGAUCCUCUGUGGCCUGCAGCACCUCCACCAAAACCGUAUCAUCUACCGAGACCUCAAACCGGAGAACGUGCUGCUUGAUGACAAUGGUAAA